CAUGUAGGCGGGAAUCUAAGUCUGUUGUGAAAAUGCGGGGCUCAACCUCGUAUGGCGAUGGAAACUGGAUUUCUUGAGUGCAGGAGAGGAAAGGGGAAUUCCCAGUGUAGCGGUGGAAUGCGUAGAUAUUGGGAGGAACACCAGUGGCGAAGGCGGCUUUCUGGACUGGAACUGACGCUGAGGUGCGAAAGCUGGGGGAGCGAACA
rnacentral:rRNA from 1 species